UACAGGGGGUGCAAACGUUGCUCGGAAUCAUUGGGCGUAAAGCGCACGUAGGCGGUCUGUUAUGUCGGAUGUGAAAGCCCUCGGCUCAACUGAGGAAGUGCAUCCGAAACUGGCAGGCUAGAGUACUAAAGAGGGUCGCGGAAUUCCCGGUGUAGAGGUGAAAUUCGUAGAUAUCGGGAGGAACACCGGUGGCGAAGGCGGAUCUCUGGGCCUGUCCUGACGCUGAGGCGCGAAAGCUAGGGGAGCGAACAGG
rnacentral:rRNA from 1 species